rnacentral:rRNA from 1 species
GAGACUCUGUGCGCGUGCAUAUCAAUAAGCGGAGGAAAAGAAACUAACUAGGAUUCCCUCAGUAACGGCGAGUGAAGCGGGAAGAGCUCAAAUUUGAAAUCUUCAAGGUUCUACCUUGACGAAUUGUAGUUUAAAGAAGUGUUUUCUGUUGGAGUUUUGGUAAAAGUUCUUUGGAAUAGGACAUCAUAGAGGGUGAGAAUCCCGUAUUUGACCAUUAUUUCCAACUUUGUGAUACACUUUCAAAGAGUCGGAUUGUUUGGGAAUGCAGUCCAAAAUGGGUGGUAAAUUUCAUCUAAAGCUAAAUACUGGCGAGAGACCGAUAGCGAACAAGUACCGUGAGGGAAAGAUGAAAAGAACUUUGAAAAGAGAGUUAAACAGUACGUGAAAUUGUCAAAAGGGAAGCGUUUGACACCAGUGUUGUUUUUCCGAAAAUCAAUUAUAAAUGUUUUGUUUCUGAGGAGUGAUGACUUCAUCGGCUUCCUUCUCUCUUCACGAAACUUUUGUAAUGCACUUUUCGGUUAACAAGUCAACAUCAAUUUCUUUUGUUGUAAAAAGGUCAUUGGAAGGUGGCUUUCUUUUCGGAGAAAGUGUUUAUAGCCUUUGAUCUCUGCAACCGGAGAGAUUGAGGUACUGCAGCGUAGACUCUUCGGGGUUAGAUACACUUUGUGCUAAGUUAUAGCCUUGUAUAGACAACUUGUUGACUAUGACUCAGUCAUGUAGCUUACUCGCUAGAUAGUAUUUUACCUACGCUUAGAAUGUUGAGUCGUAGAGCACGCAG